rnacentral:tRNA from 1 species
UCCUCCGUGGCGCAAUUGGCUAGCGCGUCUGACUGUUACGCUUUCUCCUUGGGAUUGCAGCAAUCAGGAGGUUGACAGUUCAAGCCUGUCCGGGGGAG